UUUUUCUUCUUCUUCGUUUCUUUUGUUUUCCAAACUUCGUUUCACUCCCAAAUCCCAACUUCGUUUCCCUCAGACGAGAAACCACGAAGACGAAGGAGAAACAAGAUCAAUCAAGCCAUUAACUCUCUCGAAUGAGAAACCACGAAGACGAUGGAGAAAGCUAAAGAUCAAUCAAGCCAUUAACUCGACAGAACCUCUCAGAGUAGGCUUAUUGCAGAUUACCAAAUAGGCAAUAUGAGGCUUAUUGCAGAUUACCAAGAUGUAUGUGAUGAUGAGUGACACAGCUAGAUGUAAUGGCACCAUUAACAUGGAUUUGAUCUUGGUGAGGAUACGCAGUCAUGUUUUAAGCGGAUGGACCAGAUAAGAUAUGGUGAGAUUUACCCAUUUGUAUAACUAUGUCAACAACAAGCAUGGCAACUGCAACAGGUGCAGUUGUGUUAUUUUAGAUUUUUAGUACACAUUAUAUCGUAAACUACAAAGCAAUACAUCUAGAGAAGAUGGCGAGGAGAGAGCUAAUGGUGGUGGUAGCGAGGUUACUAAGUCUGUUAUUGUCGUUAGUGAUCAAGUCACUCUUCUCCAUUACAAUGAGAUGUCUUUCUCUAUGUGUCUUUCUGUAUUAGAUAACAACGAUGAUGUGUUGGAGUGAAUAUAGUAUUCAAGAUAUACUAGGCAGACAACAUUGUGCUCUGGCAAAGAAGAAAUGAAAUGUUCAAAUUCACUUUUAUGUUUAACUGAUAUCUUCCUCACAACUCUUAAAAAUCAAUGGGCUUGGAAAAACACCAUGAUCUUGACUUACUUGAGUAGGCAGUAUAAUGAAUGUAUAUAUCCUAUUACUGUUGAUGUAACAAAACAGUACAUUCUUGAUUAGAUAUAAUGAAGUUUUGUCUGCUGAAGACGCAAUCCUGUUAACUACACUUUGCUCAGGGUUUCAGGUUUUGCAUUUCGGGCAUCUAUGCAGGGCUCACGACGUGAUUAAUAAUAGGGUCAAAGGAGAGCCCUGGAGUCUGGAGGUCCAUGGAAAUCCAUCAUCUUUUUGCCUAUCUUCCAUCUUCAACAUAUCAUUGAUGAUCCGAUACCUGGAGCUGCCAACCUUGGUGUGAAUGUCAAAAAAGAUCACAGUUGAGGCUUUCCAAUAAAAGUAUCCUUCUUAACAUUUUCGGUUGAAGUGAAUGUUUUUAUGUUACAACAUCACUGGUUCAAAUUUAUUCUGCGCAUAAAGGUGAUCAACAGGCAAUUGGGAAGAAACAGCUAAACUGAACAGGGGUCAGGGAUGGAACCAAAAUCAUAGAUAGGUGUGGCCAUUGGUGUUAUUUGGAAAAAUUAUAAAAACUAUAAAGAUUUAGUUAGGGAUUGCAAAAAAUCAGGGGUGUCGAGGCGUAUAUCCGUCCCUGACAGGGGGCAAUAGAAAAUGAAUGGACAAUAUGUUUAUUUGCUUCCUUUUCUAGCAGUUAGAGUAAUAGUCGACAUUCAG